rnacentral:lncRNA from 1 species
AAAGGUAAAUGUUUUGAAUUGUUUCAGGACAUUCAGGCAGCCAUGACAAAGAUAUUCCUGAAAGGGACUUGGAACUGCUACAGAAGUGGCCAGAAGUAUGUGAAAUGAGACCCUUGGAAGCUGUGAAAUAUGUUAAGAUCCUUGAGAAAAUGAGAGGCAAAGCAACUUCAGUACAUGUCUUCUGACUUACAGGCAAGUGACUUGCUUCAGCAUUACCUGCUACUGCCCCAGGAUUCCAUCUACUAGAGGACAUGGCUGAGAUACAGUUGUGCAGUGACACUUACUAAGCGUAUAUGUUUUACAGUGAAAUCUGUCAGGCCCGGAGUGAUGCUGCAAAUGUGGACCCUUUGGGUAUGAAAGAGAGUCAAGUCCCCU